GUAGUUAGCCGGGGCUUCCUCCUUGAGUACCGUCACUUUCUUCUUCCUCAAGGACAGAGGUUUACAAUCCGAGAACCUUCUUCCCUCACGCGGCGUUGCUGGGUCAGGCUUUCGCCCAUUGCCCAAUAUUCCCCACUGCUGCCUCCCGUAGGAGUCUGGGCCGUGUCUCAGUCCCAGUGUGGCCGAUCACCCUCUCAGGUCGGCUACCCAUCGUUGACUUGGUGGGCCGUUACCUCACCAACUAUCUAAUGGGACGCGAGCUCACCCCUCACCGGAUUUCUCCUUUGACCCCUUUGUCAUGUGACAUUGUGGUCUUAUGCGGUAUUAGCACCUGUUUCCAAGUGUUAUCCCCCUGUGAAGGACAGAUUGCUCACGCGUUACUCACCCGUCCGCCGCUAAAACAGAAACCGAAGUCCCUGUCUCCGCUCGACUUGCAUGUGUUAGGCACGCCGCCAGCGUUCGUCCUGAGCCAGGAUCAAACUCUGA
rnacentral:rRNA from 1 species